rnacentral:rRNA from 1 species
AUGGUUUAGUGGCGGACGGGUGAGUAACACGUGAGCAACCUACCUUUCAGAGGGGGAUAACAGUUGGAAACGACCGCUAAUACCGCAUAACGUUGUAAAAGGGCAUCCAUUUACAACCAAAAGAGAAAUCUGCUGAAAGAUGGGCUCGCGGCCGAUUAGAUAGUAGGCGGGGUAACGGCCCACCUAGUCAACGAUCGGUAGCCGGACUGAGAGGUUGAACGGCCACAUUGGGACUGAGACACGGCCCAGACUCCUACGGGAGGCAGCAG